GAGGAAAUCAUCCUUCACAAUACCGUAGUGUGGGAAUCCACCCAUUGGGGUAAUCUCCUUCUCAGUCCUGGUUCAGAAAAUAAGUCGGAUUAGUUUGAACCUGAAUGAUAGUCUACUGUGAAACAAACAAUCAGCAUAUUUCUUGCUGUCCAGUGAUUUAUUGCAUGCAAUAAUAAAUAAUCAGCAAGUUUCUCACCUAUCAAACUCAGUAAUGGCUGAGUGCGACUCGUCUCCAGCCUUGCCAAGCCUGUAAAUCUUCUUGUUCAGCUCAGUUCGGUGAUGGUAUCCAUUUUGACCAGCCCUGGCAACAGUGAAAGAAACUCUUGCUGGAUGCCAUGCACCAAUACAAGCAACCUUCCUCAAACCCCUGUGAGUCUUGCGAGGAAGACGGGUAACACCCCAACGGGUCACAACACCCUCAUAACCCUUACCUUUGGUCACCCCAAUGAUGUCAAUCAUCUCAUCCUUCUGGAACACAGCAUCAAUAGGAACCUGUUUCUCGAAGAAACUGUAAGCAAAGUCCACCUUCUGUGCCACAGUCCCACCAUUGACCUGAAUUUCCAUGAUGUGGGCUUUCUUCUGCUUCAACCCUUUCAUUUUUCUGAUCUGUGAGAUUGAUAUACAAUAAUAUUAGAAAUUUAUACCAAAUACACCAAAUAAAUAUAAUUGGAGGUGAUUUAGAAUUUGGCUAACAAUGGUAUUAGUAUUUAAAAUCAUGUAACAUGAAAUGAUAAAUUGAGAGAUAAAACACAAAUGGAAGAAUUUGGAAUUGCCAGGUGAUCUACAGAAACCCAAAACAUUUGCCAUAGAAAAUAUUACAGUUUCAUUUGCCCCUAUAUUUUUCUUGACAGCACAAAAAACAUCAAAAAGAAAUUAAAACAAGAGGGUGUCAGAAAUCUCGUGUGGAAAGUGCCGCUCAUUGCACCAAAUUAAAUGGCACUGCGUUAGCACAAGAACAAGAAUCUCAUCAUUCUCAUCACCCAAAAAACAUAAACGUUUAUAAAACGUAUAGUUAACCUUCAUAACGUAGAACACCCAGAAUAUGAAAUCACUUUGUCAUAGGAAGUACCUGAGUGUGAGCCAACACACGGACAACAGUUGCAUACUUCUUAAUUUUCUCCAACUGUGCCUGAACAUUUUUCUUCCCUUCUUCAGACUCAAACUGCUUGGAGUACUUGGAGAAAGCCUUCUUCUUGGACUUGCACCAGUUCUUAUAGAACCUACGCUUCACUUCCUCACUCAAAUGCUGAGCCCAAACAGUGUUCAAUGUUCGCAUACCACGGGGAGUUUUCACAUAGCCCACAACACCAACAAUAACCAUUGGAGGGGUCUCAAUGAUUGUAACUGGCUCGCAAGUCUCCUUCUUGUGAAGCUCUGUUGCAAAAGAAUUGCGUUAAUGUAAUUUUACAAUAAAAAUGGAUACCAUACAUCGGCUUAUAAUGUUCAUUACAACAAUAAAAGAAUGAAGCAUAAUUACUGACAUAUACUUCACAACCAAAAUUGACUAAAACAUGCAGUUUAAUAAUACCAUUCUACAUAGAAAAAAAAACUGAAGGAGCUAUAUCCAUAACCUGAAAGAGCACAUGAACAAGUGUAUUUCAAAACAUCUGUUUCCCUAAAAUUACUCAUUCCAUCCCAUAAUUUGAAGGAAAUAAAAACCAGCACCAAUAUUGACUUCCACAGGAUACAUUUAAGUGAGAACGAUAAGAAAAUUUGAUACGAAUGUGACUCACUUGAUCCUGGCUUCUCGACCUCUCUGACAAUGUGAGUCAUACCAGCCUUGUAACCCAAGAAGGCAGUAAGCUUGGGUGACUUGGAUGGGUCAUCCUUAGGGAAUGACUUCACUGCACAGGUAAAAAUUACAAAUGUUAAAAAAUCAGAUUCUGAUAUGAGGGAAUAAACAUAGAUCAAGUCACUUGUAUUCUCACAAUCAAGUUCUCCACUCAAACAAUAACACUUGUAUAUGAAUUUUAAAAACUUGACUACAUAUCACUAUUUGAUUGGAAAACAUCAUGAAAUGGGUGUAAGGAAAUUGUUGCAAGUUUGUAAUCAACAAUUUAAAGCAAAAACAUGAGGAGGAUCCAUUCACCAAAAAAAUUACAACAUAACAUCCUCGUAGUUUUGUUUCACAAAUUCACAGCAGCAAUACUUGGCAAUUGAAACAACAGAUGCCCAGAUACAAAGAACAAACCUUUUCCCCUGUGACGUGCAGCACGCUUCCUAGGGAGAAAUCCCAGUGACCCAUGUCUGGGGUGCUCGAACUUCCUGUGAGACAUCCUUCUCCUUCUCCUUCAAAAUCAAAACAAAAAUACAAAUCAAUGGAGAUUCCAGAAUGAUGCAUUAAACACAACAAUUGAUAAUAAUCGCGUUAAGAAUCAGAAAUGCAAGAGAAAACACGGAAUCAACAAGUUUGGUUGAAAAAUGGAUUGUCGUACUGAGAAUCUUGAAACGAAAAUAAUGAAGACAACGAAGGAAGCAAUGGCAGGUGAGAAAAUGGGGGAAAAUGGUGGAGAAGAUGAGAUUUGGAAGAGAACCUGCAGCAGCGGCGAGUGAAGACCUGAGUUGCAGGAACUGAGCUAAAACCCUAAUUUCUCUCUGAUUUUAUUUGUUGUGGCUGGGCUGCUAAAGUUCUAUGGGCUUUUGUUUCUUGUUGGGUUUGGGAUGGACCUUCUAGCUUGGAGCUUGGACUCAUUUUUUCCAACAAAAUGAAUGGAGCUAGGAAAAAAAUUGUAAGAAAUUAAAAUGAAAAAGAAGUUUUAUUUUUAGAGCAUAAUGUAUAUGUAUAUUCACUAACAUGGUAACCAAGUGAGCUGGUGUAGUGGUUCAGCACUUCAUCCUUUAAGCAAGUAGUUGAGGGUUUGAAUCCUAACUCUUGCGAAUAGAGGAAACUCCUUGGCCAGCCCCCUACCGCUUAGUGCGCUGACCGCGGGGCGAGGGAUUAGUCUCACGGCUGUCGGUUGUAUGGAUACUUUAGUCAAGACCAAAACAAUAUUCACUAAUAUGGUCAGAUAAAUCUUCCAUAUCUUAUCUUCUUUGGAAUUUGAUUAGUUGAGUGUGUAGAUAUUACAAUUUUAAUUCAACGAUAUAGAUGUCGUGGAAAUUUCCCUAUUUAGAACUUUGAUUUUGUGAAAAUUUCCUUCUUGAAGAUGAGAAAAAGGGUAAUAAUAUCUCCAACUAAAAUUUUAGCGAUGGGGACAAGGAUCGUGCUUCCCAACCGACGAUUUCCCUGCCUUGCAUACUGGAAUGGAACCAUAAAGUUGGUCGAGGGGAGUGGAAAUUUAACACUUUAGUACUAGUUUAUUGAGGAAGUUUUUCUCUUAACGGGUUUAUUCAUAUGAUAAUCUGGGAAGCAUAUUAAAGUAAGUUGAAAUUAUAUCAUGGGUAAGCAUAACCUCUUACUCAUAAAGUUAAUCUAAAUAACUAAUCGAAAUGGUUUACUAAAAUAAGCUCAAAAUAGAUUAUAAGUAGAAUCUAGUUACAUAUGAUCUGCUACACACUUGCAUAUGAACCCCUUAAAUCAAUAACCCCAAAAAGUCUGGGCCCUCAUCAAUUCUUAUUAUUGUUCAAUCUGAAAGUGGUGUAUUUUCAUGAAACCCUAGUACAUCCUUAAUCAAUCUGAAAGCAUCACAUCAUUGGGGGUAGGGUCAGAAGGUUUUUUCCCAAUGGACAUUUCUACUAUUUCAUGGAGUUUUCUUCUCUUUUAUGUGAUAGUUCUUUUUCCACAAGGGAGAUAUUUUUUUUCAAGUUUUUGUUCUCCAUUUUUACUUCUCCAAUCCACCUCUUCCACCACCACCCAUUACCACCCCCCACCACAUCCACCAACAUGAUGAAGCGCGAACUAAAUUAGAAAAAAAAAAAUAUAUAUAUAUAUAUAUAUAUAUAUAUAUAUAUAUAUAUAUAUAGUUUUCACUUGGAAGUUAUUAGCAUGUUUCUUUGAUGACUUUGGAGUUUGAGAGUUUUGUAAGACUAUUAGUGUUUUAGCUUCAUGUAAGACGAGUAAGCAUGUAUUUCUAGUUUCAUCAUCCUAUUGCAUUGCAGUAUCACUCUUAAGGAUUCCGAGUUCUACGAGUAAGCAUGUAUUGUCUAUGAUUUCCUCAUCUUAUUGCAUUGUUGUAUCAACCUUAGGGUUUCAGAGGGAACAUUGUGUAAGUGUCGUAGGGCAACACUUUGGAUUUUAAUCUAUGCAUCUUUGAAAAGAAAAGAAAAAGACAGUGUUUCCUAUGUGAAAACCCUUCUCACUAAAUCAAUUUAUGGUCACAAUUAACGGGAAAUGCAUGAGCAUCAAGACGAAUAAACUCUCAUAUACUCUAGAAAAGAGAAGCCUCCUACAUGGGAAGAUCUGGCGUCAUGUAAAAUGGUCUAAAAUGGUAUGCAAAUAAAAAGUGAAGAGAAGAGAAGGUUUCUGAUGUCCAUGGGUACAGAAAUUAUGUAGAGUUACUUUGAAGCACUUGGAUCAUUGAUCAAACUACUUGUCCUAAUACACCAGAGCAAAAUGGUGUUGCUUAGUGAAAAAAUCAACACUUAGAAGAGCUAGUAAGAGUGUCAUUAUUGGAAGCCCAUAUACCUUAGUUGUAUAGGGGAGAAGCUUUAUUGUGGCUGCAUAGAACUUCAACUUCAACACGAUCCUUCUAUUUAGUAAGAUCGCCCCUUUUCAGUACUCUCAAACACGUAAAUUAUCAAUGACUAAUCAUAUAAAAUGUCAAAAUUGAACAAAAUACUAAUCCCUCAAAUUAAUCAGGUUCCCUUUUCACUAUUCUCAAACUAAACUGAAAAUCCAUGACUUAUAAAUUGUCACAUUGAAGGAAACACAGACCAAGUUCAAAAGACAAGGUAAUAAAAAACAAGUUCAAAACUAAGUUCCAGAUUUUCCACCAAAAUAGCAUAAUUAAGCUUUCAGGCGUCCAUAGAACUUCUGCUUCUCUUGUGUUGACUGGAAGCGCCCAUGUCCAAACUUCGAAGAGGUGUCAAUAAACUUGAGUUUGAUCUCCUCCAAAGCAACACGAGAAGUCUGCGUAAGCAAGGAUUGACGCAAUGUGACAACCCUCUUCUUGGGGCCAACACAGCCUCCCUUGAUCAUGAGGAAAUCAUCCUUCACAAUACCGUAGUGUGGGAAUCCACCCAUUGGGGUAAUUUCCUUCUCAGUCCUGGAUCAGAAAUCAAGUCGGAUUAGUUUGAGCCUCAAUGCUAGACUAAUGUGAAACAAACAAUCAGCAUAUUACUUGCUGUCCAGUGCUUUAUUGCAUGCAAUAAUAAAUAAUCAGCAAGUUACUCACCUAU
rnacentral:lncRNA from 1 species